rnacentral:rRNA from 1 species
UAAGGAAUAUUGGGCAAUGGACGCAAGUCUGACCCAGCCAUGCCGCGUGAAGGAUGAAUGUCCUAUGGAUUGUAAACUUCUUUUAUGCAGGAAAAAUAUCCCGGUCGAGAACCGGGACUGAUGGUACUGUGUGAAUAAGCAUCGGCUAACUCCGUGCCAGCAGCCGCGGUAAUACGGAGGAUGCAAGCGUUCUCCGGAUUCAUUGGGUUUAAAGGGUGCGCAGGCGGAAUGAUAAGUCAGUGGUGAAAUCUCCCGGCUCAACCGGGAAACUGCCAUUGAUACUGUCGUUCUUGAGUACAGUUGAAGUGGGCGGAAUGUGUCAUGUAGCGGUGAAAUGCUUAGAUAUGACACAGAACACCGAUAGCGAAGGCAGCUCACUAAGCUGUAACUGACGCUCAUGCACGAAAGCGUGGGGAUCAAACA